ACUGUUUUAACAGGAAAUCACGGUUUUAUGGCAGAAAAUUACACUGUGAGAGGAAAUUACAGUGUAUGCAAAAAAGUGUCACUUUGUGAGAUCCUGGAGGGCUGAUAUCUGUGCAGGAGCCAGUUUAUUGGUACUGAGAAAUACCAUACUAAUUUGCUUGUUAUGGGUGAUUUCCUCUGUCAGCUGUGCCAGGCGUCCUGAAUUGAACACAUGAGGAAGAUGUCGGUUAUGUACAGGGACCACCAUCUAAAUGAAAAAAAAAUUAAGAAUACCUAUGUAAGCAAAGGUUGACAGCAAUACAAUCAUUAAACUAUUUUAACAUUUA